GACGAACGCUGGCGGCGUGCUUAACACAUGCAAGUCGAACGGAAAGGCCCUGCUUUUGUGGGGUGCUCGAGUGGCGAACGGGUGAGUAACACGUGAGUAACCUGCCCUUGACUUUGGGAUAACUUCAGGAAACUGGGGCUAAUACCGGAUAGGAGCUCCUGCUGCAUGGUGGGGGUUAGAAAGUUUCGGCGGUUGGGGAUGGACUCGCGGCUUAUCAGCUUGUUGGUGGGGUAGUGGCUUACCAAGGCUUUGACGGGUAGCCGGCCUGAGAGGGUGACCGGCCACAUUGGGACUGAGAUACGGCCCAGACUCCUACGGGAGGCAGCAGUAAGGAAUAUUGCACAAUGGGCGGAAGCCUGAUGCAGCAACGCCGCGUGCGGGAUGACGGCCUUCGGGUUGUAAACCGCUUUCGCCUGUGACGAAGCGUGAGUGACGGUAAUGGGUAAAGAAGCACCGGCUAACUACGU
rnacentral:rRNA from 1 species